rnacentral:rRNA from 1 species
UACGUAGGGGGCAAGCGUUGUCCGGAAUUAUUGGGCGUAAAGCGCGCGCAGGCGGUUCGUUAAGUCUGAUGGUAAAGCCCGGGGCUCAACCCCGGUAUUCAUUGGAAACUGGCGAACUGGAGUGCAGGAGAGGGAAGCGGAAUUCCACGUGUAGCGGUGAAAUGCGUAGAGAUGUGGAGGAACACCAGUGGCGAAGGCGGCUUCCUGGCCUGUAACUGACGCUGAGGCGCGAAAGCGUGGGGAGCAAACA